UUUUUUUUUUUUUUUUUUUUUUUUUUUUUUAACUUAAAGACCUGAAUGCAGUGGUCAGAGGGACUGGAGAGCUCAGAAUGCUAGUAAUGAGAUAUGGAGCCCUUUUCUCCUAGGUCACUGGCAUGAAUUUGACCCUGGUUAGUAAUAACCAAGAGUUGUUAUCAGCUGGUGGCUGUUUGGUGGCCUAAGACGCACAAGCUGGUGGUUUCACUUUGUGUAAUGACCCGUGGCUGCAUACACAUACACACAGCCUUCAGUUAAAACAUGUGCAAAUAGCUUGGGAAAUACCAUAUAGCUCAUGAUUGAACUUCAGAACUCAGGCUGAAAGGUCGUCUGUGGUGGCAAUUAAGAGUGACAGGCUUUAAACCCUGUCAGCCACAGAGAACAAGGUGCUCACCAGCAUUCACACAAGUCAUUUGCUCCUGCUUGGACAGUGGAACUCACACAUUUAAAGCAGAAUAACACAAAAUAAUGGAUAAGUACUAAAUUAAUUCUGUACAAGACAAAGUGACAAAGCAAAGUCCUUUUAAGGUCUGGAAUCUGCAAGCAAAAGGAAAGAAACAGAAGAUAAAGGGGAAGAAAAUCUGAGGGAAAAAAGUAGUGGAAAAGGGAAGAUAUGUAUUAUUAAAAUAGAGUAUGUAGAGAAAUGAUAGCAGAUACACCGAUGGCUCAUGCUUCCCAAAACAUAUGACUCCUCUUCUUGCCUCCUUUAUAGAGUUAAUCAACUUCCUGUGAAAAAAUGGCUUGUUAUAUAAGAUUUAAAAUACAUCAGAGUAUUUAGGCACAUUCUUCACUUCUAGCAUGUGCUGCUUGUUUCAGCAGAGUGCCUGUUCUUUCUUACAGUAGGUAUUUGCUUAUCUACCUUACCAAAGUGAAGGUUUAUAAUUAAGCUGUGUAGACUCAGCUAAAAGGUUUGGUUGUGAUUAUGGAUGUGGUUUUACUACAUCAGCAGCAAGGAGCAUGAUGACCAGGAAAUGACCAGGAUGAAAAGGAGUAAUAUAGAAAUAAGAUCUCCACUGAUGUGACAGGAACUUUAGAGAGGGUUGGGAGGGCUUUUGGAGCAAAUGGAUGCUGGGUCAGGAUUUUCCACAAACUCGUUCAUCCAUCUCUAAAGUUACUGUUAAAUAUCUGUGACAUACGUGUGUUGAUUCAAUGGUGAAAGGCUUAAAGAUCAGGCUGGGUUGACAUUUCUUCUUGUAAGGCUCAAUAUCAUGAAAACAUUUGAAGUGUAAAGAGCUGCAGAACUGGCUAGUUUCACAUGUCAUACUGAUGCUGUGUGGCUUUGUAAAAGAACUGAUACACUUUGACGCUCUAGGCCUGAAGCAAAUCCAAAGCAUAGGACUUCUGAGCAUGGCAAGAGACCGUGAAGCAGCAGCACAGAGCGCCAGGUAAGAUCAAAUUCCUGGCUAUUUUCCAUUUCCCUGUCACACUCUGUAUGCUUAAUAAACUGCUUUUACAAUAGUGAUAGGAUCUGACUGCCACCUGCAUGCUGUGUAAUGUGUAUCCUCUACAGAAAGAACAUUUUGCAGCUGCAAGAGGUAAGUACUUUGAGCCUAGAAUACCUGAAUGUUCUAAGAUGAGCUCACUGCUUUCUAAGCUGCAAAAAUGCUUAAUCCCUUUGUCACUUUAUAUUUUUUUGUAGUUAAUGAUGUCAGUGGAUUGACAAAGGCACAUAACCAGGGGCAGAAUCUGGCCUAUCAUAUUUAUUAGGAUGUGAUUCCUCAAGUAGACACUACAGCCUUGUAAGGGCACAUCCUCUGCUUUGCUUUUACGUAUGAAAUGUAAGGGAGUAGAACUUGUGUUACAAAGCAAUAAUUGCCAGCUCUGUGACAAUUCUAUGUGAACUCAGUGCUGGUACAUGAUAACCUGCAGAUGCUAAGAUCAGUUUGAUUUAAGAACUUUAAACAAAACCCUACUGACCACUUAGCAAUAUAUUUUUUUGUCUGACUCUUUUGACUGACACUUAGAUAGUAAGCUCUUUGGAGCAGGAAAUAAUCUCUUAUUUGUUAAUUCUAUGAGGCCCUGUUCUAACUAACGUUCUACUGAAAAUUUAUUUUAUUGUUUAAUGACAUUUUUCAAACUUAGAAUAGUGCGAACAUGUUCAUAGCUUAUAUUAAGUUCUGAGGCUUAUUAAUUCUUGUUUAUAAUAAUCCUCCUCUUGUCUACAAUCACUUUUCUUUCAUCUUCAGGUAUUUUACCUCAUAAACUUUUUCUUCUUUUGCAGAAGCAGUAGAUUCUGCUCUGCUCCAAAGCAAACUUUUCUGCUAUAGUUAGUAGGGGAGUGUUGGUAUGUAGGUCUUCACUUCCUGCUCAUUGUGUCUUUUGGUGCUUCUUGCAAAAAACUAAGGAUUAUUAUAUUCUUUAGUCAACUUUGUUUUUGUCUUUUGCAGUCCAUCAUUGCUAAAUAAGAAAGCCAAGAUUCUUUCACAAGCUCAAGAAGCAUAUUGCUUCUUUCCAAUAGGUAACCACAGAUACUUCAUAUGUAACCAUUGAUUUUCUAUCCAGGGAUGUGUAGGAAGUCUUACAAAGAGCAUGAGUAAGGACGCAUCUAAUAACAUGUCAGAAUUUUCCUGUUUCCACACCUGAAUGCUCAGUCCAGAAUACUGAUCCCCGCACCAGAGAACAACCACAGUUUACAAAGUCAAUAUAUACUGUAUGAAGUAGCUGUAUAGUUAUGAUAGUUACCACAGGGAAUGAAACCUAAAAUUUUUAGAUGCAAGCAGAGGGCAUAGGCAGGAUCUGACUUUUCUCUGAAGUAGGCUCAGCUAGAGGAAAAAUAUUGAUUUUCACCACAGCCAUCCUUCCUUCAGAAGUUAUUUCAUGUUUGAAAGGGAUGCAUGAGGCUAUAGAGAAAAAGAAAAAGGGUGGUAUUUUAUCUUAAUUUAUAAUUUUAUUUUAUUUACAGAGUUCAGUUAUUUUAUGUGUUCUCUUCCUUAAAUAAAAGCAAAUAAACCAGAAUAUUUUCUUUAAAUGCAGUGUUUGAUGUAUACUGCAUUGGAAGUUAUUAAUUAGUAUCAGUGCUCAGUCUUGGCAGUCAUGAUUUCUUCCAAGCCGGUAUUGCAGAAAUCAAACAAAAAAGGUAAAAAUAAAUUAAACUUGAGACUUCUAUUUGUGUAAGUACCCAAAUGUUAACAAAUUUCUCUGAACCCACUGCUGUCUUAAAUCUCUAAAGUCUGAAAACAGAUUUUCUAAGACUGAUAGAAACUGCCAGCUUCAGCUUAGGAGGUCUUUGCAGACUGAAAUCAAUUGCUUGGCUUCAAAACCCUGUAGUCAAUACAGGCUUUUCUGGCUGCUGGGCUUGGUGGGACACUGAUCAGAUGCACAACGAGGCUGCUUUUGGGAUUGGGUGGGUUUUGGUAGAACACAUUUUUGCUGAAAUGCAGGUGCUCCUUUCAGAUGGGUCAAAGGCAAAGUGCAAGAGGGCACUGGGCAAGUAGACAUACAGAUUACAUUCUCUAAGGCCCCUGGAAAAUCUAGUUUUGCCUGUGUUCUUACACUCAUUUUUUCAAUGUACACAAUUGACAACUUCAUCAUCAUAAGCAGUAUGAAAAAAACCCCAAAUCAGUUCUUAGCCAGUAUUGGAUGUAUUUCUCAUGUUAUGGCAUUUACUUGAGAUAAUUUUAAUAAAAGCAGAACUGCACAGUGUACACUAAUGAAAAUAUAUUUCCAUUUCAGUACAUAUGUAUAUGAAUUCCGGUAUUAUUUAGAUCCCUUUUAAAAACAACAAAAAAAGGUAACUCUUUAAAAAAAAAAAAAUUUAAACAGUUUCCCUUCAUGUUCUUUUUCCUCAUUCUUCUGAAGAAUUUCUGCCUGAAGCACAGCUACAUUACACUCAUAAAACAUAUCAAGGUACCAGCAUUCUCCAGUACUCCAACCACUCCAAUCACUGCUGUGUGAACAGCUGCGAGUGCAUUUUUUUAAUAUUUGCAACUAAAAAUACUUCUGUGCUAAAAAGUGUCAAGUUCUGCAAGCCUUUCAUGGCCAGGACACUUCUCAAAUAUUCAGUGAAAUUCUAAAACCAGUAGGACUCCAGACUGAAAAUCAAAAUCUUGGGAAUGUACUUAAGGGGUAAAAAAAGCCAAGCAAUAAAUAAACUUUGAAGGAAGAAAAAUCCUUUUUGGUUAAGAAAGCAAAAAAACAAGUUCUUAAAAAUACUGACUCUCAAAACAGCUCUGUAUUUCUGAGGGAGUAAUUCCUCAUGCAGGAAAUACCUGAGUAAUUAACAUUUACUAAAGCAAAAGCUCAAACCUGCAUUCUGCCCAUUCCAAACUACUGCUGACUUCAUGCAAACAGAAGUGUUCUAAAGUGUCCUACUUUCUUACAAAGAACAAAUGUGGAUUUUAUAAUACUGUAAGGAAGCAUAAAUCUUACUAUCUCUAUACUCAUAUAAAAUUAUUAAUAAUUAUGUUAGCAUGGAUAGUAUGAAAUAAGCAACAAAAGAUAUUAGCAGAAAUUCCAGUGUGAUUUCAGUGAUGGACUAUGGCACAUUUUGCUAAAGAUAUCUGGCUGCAAAGCCUGGGAGUCCAGCAGAGGCAAUUAGGUGAAGUGAAAUCAAGGUUAUUCAUUCCUCAGUUAAAUAAUUCUGCAUGAUCUGAAUGUACCAGGGUUUUCAAUCACUGAUACUUAGAAAACUUAAUAUUUAAAAUACUAAAUAUUUGCAUGUUAUUAUGUGAGUGAGUAGUUUUCUGCUUAUUCAGCUGCUAAUUACAGACCAUAGUAAUUACACACCAUUAGACACAAAUAUGCUACACCUAUCAAUAGAGGAAUAUAUACUGAGACUGCUUCACAAAGCACUGUCACAGUAUGAGUACAUAAAUAAUGAUUUGAUACCUCAAUUGUAAUUUCAAGCAUGGCAGUUUGUUAAUCCUAAAAUUGGGUAAAAAUGAAUGCAACAGUUUAAUUAACUCAUCAUUUGAAAUGCUUGUUAUUCUUAGUUCAAUUUAUAAAAGCAUCACCUUUGAAUUAGGUGGGUUUAUGUGUAGUUCUUCUCUAGUUACUACACCUACUUAGCAACACAAGAGAUUUUUAAAAGAUAAUGAGAAAAAGGUUUCCCCUUCGUUCUCAGCUAAUUUUGUUUUGUGAUUAUCACGGCAGUUUCGUUUGAACUGAUAGAUUCAUAGGUUGUAAGGUAUGAGGUAUAGAAUGAGAUUUUAUAUUUUCUACAUCACCCCACAGCCAAUUGAAGCCCUAAAUUGUUUAUGAAAGAAAAUAACUCAGUUACUCUUGUCACAGCACAUAAGGUAAAAAAUAGGUUUGAAAAUUUUUAGAUCUUUGUAUUUGUUUUCAGUUCUUAGGCAAUUAAUCUAGCCAGGUGCAAAACUGACAGGAGAACGAGCCUUCAAAUUGAACUCUUAAUUUUUUGGAGAUGUUAAUUACUGGAACAAUGUUGUGAUACAUCAGCAACAGAACCCAAAUGUGUGUUAGUUCUUGUCUACUCAGUUAUUCAUUCCUCCAAAAAAUCUACACCAUUUCACUUGUUUCAGUAGCUUCAGUAUUUAAGACAGACCAAAAGAUGUAGGUGUUCAGGGUUUUACAGUUCCAUCCUGAAAAUGGCUCACAAAACACCUCUGACUAUGUCUCAUCCGUCAAAUAGCAAACAAUGAAAAUCCACAGCAUGAAAUUGCACCUUGUGGAGCUUCUUGUUGAAGGCAAAGAAUGAUAAAAGGAGGGGAAACGAGCCGUUUCAUUAUUGAAACAAUUGGAGUAACUAGUCUAAAGAUCCUCCAUCUACUCUUAAAAUACUGUUUCUAUUCCAGCAUAAAAUGUAAACCCCCCACUGCUCUAGGAGUAAAUCUGUUCCAGAUUCACAUGGCAAGCAGUGCUGUGUUCAGUUGUAGAGUAGGUUUCUAAGCCACGGUAAUUUCAGUGCCACAAGGAACACAGACUAUUAAGUUGUAGAACCUGGCUAAUUCACAUCAGUAGUUCAAAGCACCAAUGUCUAUUACUAAAAUUUGUAAAUUAGUAAGUUAUCAACCAGCAUAGCCCAUUUUCACGAUUUUCCCAUGAGCAUUAAUGAUAUUUGAUGUUUUCCUAAAGUCUGCUCCUGCAGGCUAGUGAGUAGAUGCAAACUUUAGCUUCCAUCAAAAAAGAGUUCUCACCUUUAUGGUUAGAGAUAAAACAUGAAAACAUGAGCCAGCUGAACCCUGGAGUAUCAAAAACCAGAAGGCAAAUAGGCAGAGCCCAAAAUUUAUUUAUUUAUUUUGUGAAGAUUUGGCAAGCAUACGCUAAUCUUUUGAUAUUUGAUGGACCACUUUAUGGUUUUUAAACACCUGUAGUUAGCAAUAUUGAACUG
rnacentral:lncRNA from 1 species